rnacentral:rRNA from 1 species
ACGGGAAUCUUCGGAUUCUAGUGGCGGACGGGUGAGUAACGCGUAAGAAUCUAACUUCAGGACGGGGACAACAGUUGGAAACGACUGCUAAUACCCGAUGUGCCGCAAGGUGAAACCUAAUUGGCCUGAAGAAGAGCUUGCGUCUGAUUAGCUAGUUGGUGGGGUAAAGGCCUACCAAGGCGACGAUCAGUAGCUGGUCUGAGAGGAUGAGCAGCCACACUGGGACUGAGACACGGCCCAGACUCCUACGGGAGGCAGCAGUGGGGAAUUUUCCGCAAUGGGCGAAAGCCUGACGGAGCAACGCCGCGUGAGGGAGGAAGGUCUUUGGAUUGUAAACCUCUUUUCUCAAGGAAGAAGUUCUGACGGUACUUGAGGAAUCAGCCUCGGCUAACUCCGUGCCAGCAGCCGCGGUAAUACGGGGGAGGCAAGCGUUAUCCGGAAUUAUUGGGCGUAAAGCGUCCGCAGGUGGUCAGCCAAGUCUGCUGUCAAAUCAGGUUGCUUAACGACCUAAAGGCGGUGGAAACUGGCAGACUAGAGAGCAGUAGGGGUAGCAGGAAUUCCCAGUGUAGCGGUGAAAUGCGUAGAGAUUGGGAAGAACAUCGGUGGCGAAAGCGUGCUACUGGGCUGUAUCUGACACUCAGGGACGAAAGCUAGGGGAGCGAAAGGGAUUAGAUACCCCUGUAGUCCUAGCCGUAAACGAUGGAUACUAGGCGUGGCUUGUAUCGACCCGAGCCGUGCCGAAGCUAACGCGUUAAGUAUCCCGCCUGGGGAG